AUUGUAUCUAAUUAGUAUUUAAACUAUUAAUAAAAUACUGAAUAAUGUAGUAUUAUUUUGUUAAUUAUUUAAACUAAAAGAAUAAUUUAUUCACAGCCAAGUAUAUAACAAUGUAUACCACAGGCGACCUUUUUCUAGCGUUGUCCGUAGAUAACACGAAUUCAUGGACCUUCGCAAAUGCAGCUUUAUCUCCCAUGGUAAACUUAAGUUUAUUAUAUCAUCUUACCCUUGACAGUUAUCGGACAACUGCAUCGCGUUUAUGUGUUGUUUUAUAUUUACAGGCAAGAUGGUUUUUUUUUUUUUGUUUUUUUUUUGACACAGUCAACUUAUUCACUGGAAUCUAGAGUUCACACGCAGUUUGGUAUAUUAUAUAAAAUUAUUUUUAUCUAUGAAGAUACAGAUUUACUUUUUAAUUUGUUGAAAUCGUGUUCAACCAACCAUUAUUAUAUAUAAUCAUCCCAGAGUUGUUCAAAAAAGACGACACACAACAGGCACACUUUCCAUCACCAGUAAGAAGGCCACAUAUCCAAAGAACCUAUUGUAAAAUUAGUAAGUCAGUUACAAAUAUAAUACAUUUUCAUUCAGUAGUUAUUUAGUUCUAAGUUUCUUGUUGAUCUUUGUAAAAAUAUGGUAUAGUUACUACCUAUAAAUAUAGAUUUUGAAAAAUCACAACUCACUAAUUAAUGUUGUUAACUAUUAUAGUAUGAAAUAUUAAAAUAAUAUUUCCAAGAAUUCGCUAAAAUUCUAAACAAUAAUGCAAAUAAUGUAAAAAUCGCUUUUAAGACUAAUAAUAAUUUAAUCAAACAUAUAAACAAUAGAACUAUAAACGUCACAACAAAUCUCUGUAAUAAAUUUUAUAUAGGUAAGACAAAUAGAAAUUUUAAAAUAAUACAUCUUAUUUUAAGAACACAUUUCUGAAAAAAAAUUUAAAAAGAUGGCCUCCAAUUUCAAUUUUGCUAAACGUGUUUUAGAAAAUAAUCAUAAUAUAAGUUUGUAUACUAAUACAGACUUAAUAGUAUUAAAUACUGAAAAUAACAUUUACAUUAAUUCAGUUUUAGAACAAUUACACAUACACAAUGAAAUAAAAGAAAACUAAUUUUAAUCAUAAAUGUUCAAACCGUUUUUUAAAAUUAAUAUCUAUAUCAAUAAAUUUUAGAUAAUAAAUAAUAAUCAAAUAAUUUAUAUUUCUUAACAUACAUAUGUCUAGUUUUAAAUAAUCCCUCCUAAAAAAAAAAAUGACUAAUUUGUAUAUUUUUUUUGUCUAUGUAUUUUUUCAUUAAAUGUUUUAUAUUCAGUCGCGUUUUACAUUUGACUAUUAUAUACCUGAUAAUCAAUUUUUAAUUUGAAACCGGUUGUAUAAUACACUUGUUAUAAUACUCCAGGCAACACAUUCAUUCGUUUAUUUAUUUUUUAUUUAUAUAUUUAUUUAUUAUAUUUAAUAAUAUUAGUGAAUUCACAAUAUUAUUUAAAAAUCCCCAUUAAAAUAUAUAUACAAACCAUAGUUGGUUUACACAUUUUUUAUUUUUUAGAUAAUGAUAUUGUUGGAAACACUCAAUCAAUAUUUUUUAAAGUUUCAAUCAAGAUGCAGUACUAAUGCUCUAUAUUCACUGGUUAAAUGAAGAAUGUUUGCGAGUUAUUAAAAAACUAUGCCUUAAUCAUUAUUAAUUUAAUUUUAAGUCAGGCAAAUGUUAAAUAUCCUAACCUUGGGCCAGACUAAAAUAUGAUAGAUUAACACUAUCAAAUUAACAACAGUAUCAUUUUGUGGACAAUCAAACAUUGAAAUUAUGGU